rnacentral:lncRNA from 1 species
UUUGUCAAUGCAGAGACUUAAUUUGUGUCAUGUGAAAACUAAAGGGAAGAAAAUUUUUAAUGCACAUACGUACUUUGUGUUUUUGAAUUCCCAUUUCUAAGUUUCUGUUUCACUAUUUCUGAGUAUGGUCCUACGAGUUUUGCUUUAAAACUUGAUAAAAUUCAGAGUUUCGAUAUUGAGGCAUUGAAUUAUUUGAAUAUCACAUUGAUUCCUUAAGGCAUUAAAUCUGUUCGUGUACUGUUUUUAAUCUGCAUUGGUUUUUUGUUUUUUUGUUUUGAGAUUGUGUAGGGAAUCAUACUUCAGUCUUGCUAAUUGAUUGCUGCAUGGUUGCCUGACUAAGCAGCAAAUGGACUGGAAUGCAAACAUUGUGCUGCAAUAUGCUGUUGUUGGCUUGUUGAACCUGAAGAGAAGGAGUAAAGCCAUUGGAAAUGGUUCACUUUAUGUUUGGUAA